rnacentral:rRNA from 1 species
AUUGAACGCUGGCGGCAUGCUUUACACAUGCAAGUCGAACGGUAACAGGCCCUUCGGUGCUGACGAGUUGGCGAACGGGUGAGUAAUGCAUCGGAACGUGCCCAAUCGUGGGGGAUAACGUAGCCGAAAGUUACGCUAAUACCGCAUAAGCCCUGAGGGGGAAAGCAGGGGAUCGCAAGACCUUGCGCGAAUUGGAGCGGCCGAUGUCAGAUUAGCUAGUUGGUGGGGGUAAAGGCCUACCAAGGCGACGAUCUGUAGCGGGUCUGAGAGGAUGAUCCGCCACACUGGGACUGAGACACGGCCCAGACUCC